rnacentral:tRNA from 1 species
GACUUUGUAGAAAAGGCAAGUUUCUUUGCAGUAGAAGCAGAAGAUUGCAGGUUCGAAUCCUGCCGUGGUCG